UUACGGCUACAUCACGUUGAAACACCUGUUAGCGUACAAUCACCGAAGUUAAGCAACGUCGAACCUGGUCAGUACCUAGAUGGGUGACCACUUGGGAACACCAGGCGCUGUCAG